rnacentral:misc_RNA from 1 species
CGCACAUUGCGCCCGCCAGUAUUCUGGCGGGCAUGCCUGUUCGAGCGUUAUUUCAACCCUCAAGCUCUGCUUGGUGUUGGGGACCGGCCCCCCUAAUCCAACCACCCUCUCUGUUCCGGCAGAAGGGGGGGGGGGACCAGGGGCCGCCCCCGAAAUGGAUCGGCGGUCUCGUUGUUGCCUCCUUUGCGCAGUAGUAUUACCACCGCAAGCAGCGAGCGCGGCGCGGCCACUGCCGUAAAACGCCCCGACUUUACCCAAAGAGUUGACCUCGAAUCAGGUAGGAAUACCCGCUGAACUUAA